AACCUAAAAAUCCCAUGGCAAACUGCUCAGUAACCCAUGAUCAACUUACCCUAUAGAGGAAAAUAACCUCGGGAAACUGAGGAUAAUGUUCCAUAGUUGAAUCGGCUUGGAAAAGUUUUUCAAUAAAAGGGAUAAGGAAAAUGGUUCUUAUCUGCUAUAGGAUAGGAUCGUGCUCGAUUAUGGUUGUUGGUGAGGUAAAGGCUCACCAAGCCGAUAAUCGAUAGGGGCCGUGAGAGCGGGAGCCCCGAGAUGGGUACUGAGACAACGACCCAGGCCUUACGAGGCGCAGCAGGCGCGAAACCUCCGCAAUACACGAAAGUGUGACGGGGUUACCCAAAGUGUUCUAUUUAGAACUGUGGUAGGUGAGUAAUGUUCCCUACUAGAAAGGAGAGGGCAAGGCUGGUGCCAGCCGCCGCGGUAAAACCAGCUCUUCAAGUGGUCGGGAUAAUUAUUGGGCUUAAAGUGUCCGUAGCCGGUUUAGUAAGUUCCUGGUAAAAUCGGGUAGCUUAACUAUCUAUAUGCUAGGAAUACUGCUAUACUAGAGGGCGGGAGAGGUCUGAGGUACUACAGGGGUAGGGGUGAAAUCUUAUAAUCCUUGUAGGACCACCAGUGGCGAAGGCGUCAGACUGGAACGCGCCUGACGGUGAGGGACGAAAGCCAGGGGAGCGAACCGGAUUAGAUACCCGGGUAGUCCCGGCCGUAAACGAUGCAUACUAGGUGAUGGCACGGCCAUGAGCCGUGUCAGUGCCGUAGGGAAACCGUUAAGUGUGCCGCCUGGGAAGUACGGUCGCAAGGCUAAAACUUAAAGGAAUUGGCGGGGGAGCA
rnacentral:rRNA from 1 species